CUCAGUAACGGCGAGUGAAGCGGCAACAGCUCAAAUUUGAAAUCUCAGGUAUUCUACUUGCGAGUUGUAAUUUGAAGAGGAUGUUUCGGUUGUGACCUUGGCCUAAGUUCCUUGGAACAGGACGUCGUAGAGGGUGAGAAUCCCGUACACGGCUGUAGGUUUACUUCCAUGUGUAACUCCUUCGAAGAGUCGAGUUGUUUGGGAAUGCAGCUCAAAAUGGGUGGUAAAUUUCAUCUAAAGCUAAAUACUGGCGAGAGACCGAUAGCGCACAAGUAGAGUGAUCGAAAGAUGAAAAGCACUUUGAAAAGAGAGUUAAACAGUACGUGAAAUUGUUGAAAGGGAAGCGUUUGCAAUCAGACUUGCUUGCGGUUGAUCAACGUUCCUUCUGGUUCGUGCACUCUGCCGUUCGCAGGCCAGCAUCGGUUAGGACAGUGGGACAAAGACUCAAGGAAUGUGGCUCUCUUCGGGGAGUGUUAUAGCCUUGUGUGUAAUGCCACUUGACCUGACCGAGGUCCGCGCUUUUUGCUAGGAUGCUGGCGUAAUGGUUGUAAACGACCCGUCUUGAAACACGGACCAAGGAGUCUAACAUCUAUGCGAGUGUUUGGGUGUCAAACCCAUACGCGUAAUGAAAGUGAACGGAGGUGGGAGUCUUCGGAUGCACCAUCGACCGAUCCUGAUGUUCUCGGAUGGAUUUGAGUAGGAGCAUAGCUGUUGGGACCCGAAAGAUGGUGAACUAUGCCUGAAUAGGGUGAAGCCAGAGGAAACUCUGGUGGAGGCUCGCAGCGGUUCUGACGUGCAAAUCGAUCGUCAAAUUUGGGUAUAGGGGCGAAAGACUAAUCGAACC
rnacentral:rRNA from 1 species